UACGUAGGGGGCUAGCGUUGUCCGGAAUCAUUGGGCGUAAAGCGCGCGUAGGCGGCCCGGUAAGUCCGCUCUGAAAGUCCAGGGGCUCAACCCUGGAAAGCGGGUGGAUACUGCCGGGCUAGAAUCCGGAAGAGGCGAGUGGAAUUCCUGGUGUAGCGGUGGAAUGCGCAGAUAUCAGGAAGAACACCGAUGGCGAAGGCAGGUCUCUGGGCAUUAACUGACGCUGAGGAGCGAAAAGCAUGGGGGAGCGAACAGG
rnacentral:rRNA from 1 species